ensembl:lncRNA
AUUUGGCAGACCUCCCUCAAGUUGCUGGAUGCAGGGGCUCGGGCGUGAACUGGAAGAGCAGUGUUGGCAGAGCUCAAUCCACCCGGACGAAGCUACCGCCAAAGGAGUGGAGCUGCUGCAGGGGACUAUAGUGGCUGCCAAUGCUCCAUUCUGGGUGUGGCUCCUGUUGCAAGGUUGGGGCUGCCAUGAGGGGUAGGAGUAGGGAGGUUAACCAAAACUAGCCUGGGAGGGAGGUUGUGGGGGAAAUUGAGGAAGCUGGCAAAGCUCCAGACUCUCAGCAUAUGAGGGCUGAUGAUGUGAAUGAUACAUGGUGUGGACUGCAUCCUGUGGUGCAAUACCCUGAAGAGGGUUUUGGCCUAGGGAAGUGGUCGGUGCUGUGUAGAGCUGGGCUGAUGUGGGCCUGGUCUGGUACAGCUGUGUUGGGCCCGUCUGGUAGAUCUAUGCUGUGAUGGGCCUGGUCUGGUACAGCUGGGCUGAGUUGAUGUGGGCCUGGUCUGGUACAGCUGUGUUGGGCCUGGUCUUGUUGAGCUAUGCUGUGAUGGGCCAGGUCUGGUUGAGUUGUGCUGUGAUGGGCCGGGUCUGGUAGAGCUGUGUUGAUGCGGGCCGGGUCUAGUAGAGCUGUGCUGUGAUGGGCCGGCCCUGGUCUGGCAGCAUGGGAGGGAGGUUGUAGGGGGGUGUGGCUGGCGAUGCUCCAAACUCUGUGCCGGGCCUCUGUGACUGCGUAUGGCAUAGCUCAGUGUAUCUGCAUGCAGUUCCUGGGAGAGAAGUGGUGAAGGGUGGUAUGAGGGGUAGCGUUUCUACUUGUUCUCCAGUCUUUCUGAGGCACCACUGGAUGCAAGUCUAUAGGAGCAUCUGAUUUGUCUCACAGAGUUGGUGGCUGGUCUGCUGCUCCUGUGGGGUGAGGUGGACUGGCCAACAUUCUUUAACGUCCUGGCGAAGGUGGGGACUGUAUCUUUGUACAGGUGUACAUUGUCGUACAGACUGUCCAGGCUGAGGGUGGGAUGGCGGGCCAGGUGUACGUUGAGCCAUAACACACAGUCCUGAGAAGCUGGCAUUUACCCGAUGGAUGGUGGCAGGGUGAACAUCUCUCCUCUGGAGCAGGGUAUACAUUACAAUCUUUGCAAGGCGGAAGAUGGUGGAGGUCCUCUCCAUCACUCCCCCUAGUGACGUGGUCACUCUCUCCUGUUGGGCACGCAGGUCAUUGGUCCCUGUGUGAAUGAGGAUAUGGCUGGGGGAGCCAAGUUGGGCCACAGUCAAGAGCUCCAUACCUCACUCUGUUGUGGGGCACCAUAACUUUGCCACCACUUUAAGUGGGAAAAGUUUAUUCUAUAAUACGGUGUCUCUCACUGCUCUAAUAUAAACUUUCCAUUGGAGACAAUCAUUAAUAUAGUGUUUGGUUUCUCGUCAGGUUUGUGGAGGAUGGCAGGAGUGAUGGGAGCAAUUACAGGCUGUGAGAUCA